GCCCAGUGAUGAAGCCACGGCAGUCGGGUGAUCUGUCAUGCCGGGGAUUAUGAUCACUUGCCUUCUGUUUGAUGGGUAAUCUUGGUUGUGUCAUAGUUAUAUUUCACUGCUGUAAGGGCCCACCUACACUAAAGACUGACGCCGCUUCUAUAACUUCCUGUCCUCCUCAGAGUAAUGGGAUGGGACGGGUCGGAGUUGUCAAACAACAUGUUGCAUGUCUGUCCGUUUUUGUGCGGGUGUGAUGUAUGAGUUUAUACGUAGCAGUUGGCAAUGGGAUAUAGUCUCUUUGGAGGGUUUGGCAGGCAUGAGCUACAGUCUUUGGUAAUCUGAGGGGGCA